rnacentral:rRNA from 1 species
GAUGAGCGCUGGCGGCGUGCCUAAUACAUGCAAGUCGAGCGAACGGACGAGAAGCUUGCUUCUCUGAUGUUAGCGGCGGACGGGUGAGUAACACGUGGAUAACCUACCUAUAAGACUGGGAUAACUUCGGGAAACCGUAGCUAAUACCGGAUAAUAUUUUGAACCGCAUAGUUCAAAAGUGAAAGACGGUCUUGCUGUCACUUAUAGAUGGAUCCGCGCUGCAUUAGCUAGUUGGUAAGGUAACGGCUUACCAAGGCAACGAUGCAUAGCCGACCUGAGAGGGUGAUCGGCCACACUGGAACUGAGACACGGUCCAGACUCCUACGGGAGGCAGCAGUAGGGAAUCUUCCGCAAUGGGCGAAAGCCUGACGGAGCAACGCCGCGUGAGUGAUGAAGGUCUUCGGAUCGUAAAACUCUGUUAUUAGGGAAGAACAUAUGUGUAAGUAACUGUGCACAUCUUGACGGUACCUAAUCAGAAAGCCACGGCUAACUACGUG